GGGGUUGUAGCUCAGUGGUAGAGAGCUCGCCUAGCACGUGUGAGGCCCUGGGUUCAAUCCUCAGCACCACA
rnacentral:tRNA from 1 species